rnacentral:tRNA from 6 species
GCUAGCGUAGCUCAGUCGGCAGAGCACGUGAUUUGUAAUCACGAGGUCGUGGGUUCGACCCCCACCGCUAGCU